GUGUAAGCUCUCGGCAGACCAUAUGAUUUUUGCAGACAUACAAAUUGUGUCCAAAACUAAAUUUUACGAGAAUGUUGAACAAACACCGCGAAAUCAAUUUUUAAGAAAAUUAUGUGUAAAAGCAACCGUAGCAAUUUUAGCACAAGUUGUCAAACCUAACAAGCGCGUGCAUGAUCGCACAAAUUCUUGAAGUUGUGCUUAUUUUAGUUGUGCCGUGUGUGGGCCUACAUAACAAACUGAUAAAAAGAAUCGGUAGGGUGCAACUACAUAUAAAAAGCGUGCUGCAAAUUAGUGAUUUUGUGCAAUAAAAUGCAGUGUAAAAUAUAGUUGAUGGUGCAUAUAAUUAUAAACACAAAAGAUCCAAACGUAUAGAAGCUGGCGGCGCACCGCUGCAUGCGCUGCAGGGUGCGGGGCAAACUGUGUUUGUUAUCAUUUCGUGGCGGCCGCAGUCAGCGACUUGUGUUACCAGGAGUUUGCACGGAUGAGCUGGGCGCGCAAAUGACACGAUGAGCAACAAUGAGGACAACAAUUACCCCAACUCAGCUGCAGACACAGCUCAAAGACUGAGUUCCAUUGUCGUGGAUCCCACCUCGAAUACCAGCCCAGAAAAGCAGCAGGAAAAGCCACAACAACACAAACCCAAUUAUUACUAUCAUCGUUACGUAGGCCGUCCACAUUGGCGAUUUGCCGUGCCCAUUAGCCCGUAUGGCUGGUAUCGCGUCCUGGUGUUCAGUCAGAACAGCGGCUACACCGUGAAGCAGGUGCUGGAGAAGCUGCGUCUGGCCGUAGCGCCACGGAAGUUCAGGUAUUACUAUCUGCAUGAGGGCGGUGAGCAGGAUGUGGAGCAGGAUAAACGGGCCACCUUCACCUUCUAUGUGGAUAGCUACAAACUGGCCGCCGAGCUGCAGCUGCGCGGACAUCGUCCGCCGGUCGUGGGUCUACGCGUGAAUGACAGACCGCCCAUGAUCGAGGUGGACGAACCGUACAGAUGGAAGUUGCGCAAGGUGAUAAUGUCGCGGUACGAUGAGCGGAAGCGCUGUCUCAAUCUGUGCCGCUUCUAUGCGGACGAUUACUGGAAGGGCGAGUUCUGUGCGCUGCAGCAGUUCGAGUGCCUGGAAGCAAUCAUUGACAUUAUGGAGCAGGAGCUGCCGCAGCUGCGUCGCCUGCUGCUGGACAACAACCACCUGUGCCAUCUGGGCGGCUUUCGUGGCGUUGAACAGCGAUUGCCGCGGCUGCACUGCAUCUCGCUGCAGCACAACGAGCUGAAGACGCUUCGACCGCUGCGCGUCUUUCAGCGCCUGCGUCUCACCGAGCUCAAUGUCAAGCGGAAUCCGUUGCCGCGCAACUACGAGCAGCAACUGGUGACCAUGUUUCCGGAUCUGCGCACCCUCAAUGGCCGUUCCGUGGCCAGACGCAGCACGCCCGUAGUCACGGUCAGUGACAGUGACAGUGACAGCAACAGCAGCAGCAGCAACAGCGACAGCGACAGCGAUGUGGAGCUUGUCUCUGUCACCGAGUGCAAGCCGAUUAUCAUGCCCGAGCCGAGGGUCACGUACCUGGCGCCACAUGCGCUGCCCAUGCAGCCGGGCAUACGGAAGUUCGUGCGUCGCUAUCUGAAAGCGUUUGACGGCGAUAAAAGAGCCACGGAUCUGCAGCGCUUUUAUCAGGAGCACGUUCUGGUCUCCCUAACACUUGCCAAGGAUCGCGCCAUGCUGGGCUCAUGGACUGCGCCCUAUGCUGCCUUUAGUCGCCAGCUGCUGGCGUGCCGGGUCGCGGCGCUGGAAAUGUUCGCCUCGUGGCCCAAAACGUUGCAUUUGCCGUCAACGAUGACCCUGGAUCUGACGCUGGUCGAGCCCCGGAUGCUGUGCGUCUCCAUAACUGGCAGCUUUGAAGAGAACGGCUCGUCCAACGUGCUGCGGCAUUAUAUGCGAACCUUUCUGCUGACCAGGACCGAUGAAACUGCCGACUUUCGCAUAGCCAAUGAGCUCAUCUAUCUCAGCAGAGCUGGCCGUGGCCAGCGCCAGCCGGCGAUGCUCAAUCCUGUCCAACGAAACUUGAUGUGCAUGCUCUCGGCGGAGACCCGGCUGAAGUCGCGCUGGAGUAGCAAAUUCCUCAAAGACACCAAUUGGGACUAUCAGCAGGCCCUGCUGGCAUUCCAAACACUCCUCCGACGACGCCAGAUACCCGAGAAGGCAUUCGAGGGUGAUACCAAGCCAGAGCCGAGUCCAUGACAUCAGCUGCGCACUAUAUUCCCAAUGUGCCCGCAGGGAAAUUGAAAAUUCCACAGAUUAUGCUGAUUACAUUUUAUUUGAAUUUGAAUUUGAUGUGCGAGGGUAUUAUGUGUCCAACGACUGUGUGAUGCAGGCCGCGCCUUCUUCAAUUAUGAUUUAUGAUUUGUUUGCUCAGUUUUGACAAUAUCAUCUGGAAUAAUACCGUAGCCAUACUUGUACAAUAUCUGUUCGUCGUUUCCAUUUCCGUUUCCGUUCAGUCGCAGUGUCAAGCAGGCAGGGAGGGCACAUGCCACAGAAAUUGCAGCUCGUAAAUAAAAAGAAAAUCGAUCCUCCUGGGAUUAAUGUGUAUCUUCAGAGUCGCAUGCAUGAAACUUCAAUUUCCGCUUAGAGAAUUAUGAAACUUUACGAGAAAAAACCAGUGGAAAGUCAGAAAUGAAUACGGGAUAAGAAAACGUAAUCAUCUAGGUAAUAAGGGCAAAAAGAAAGACUUUACCGUGCAGCUCCGGGCUAUGUAUAUAUAUAUAAGAAAUUAUUUAAAGAAACCCGAUUACUGUACAUAAAACAUAAAAAAUUAAUUUAAAAACCGUUUGCGUUGUUAAUAAUGCUUUAAAAUAUUGUAGAGGCUUAUGCAUAUUAUUAAGACGAAAAAUGUUAGAAAUUAAUCAAAGUUUACAAUACAAUAAUGACUCCCAUUUGUGUUACAGGCAUUUGUAGCGAAAAUAAUAGAAGAAUAGAAAAUAAAAAACAAUUGUUAGGGCUUUAAAUAAAAUGUAUUACGAAUAAAUGCACUAGUCACUAUAAUUCUAAGCAAUGUAGAAAUAGGUUUUAGUAUAAAAAGAACAAUUGUCAAGAUGUAAAUAGAAAUACACAAAUAAAUAUUAAAACUUACAACUAAUAGAUGCAGUAA